rnacentral:rRNA from 1 species
UGCGCAGGCGGAAUGAUUAGUCAGUGGUGAAAGCCCUCGGCUCAACCGAGGAACUGCCAUUGAUACUGUCAUUCUUGAGUACAGUUGUAGUGGGCGGAAUGUGUCAUGUAGCGGUGAAAUGCAUAGAGAUGACACAGAACACCGAUCGCGAAGGCAGCUCACUAAGCUGAAACUGACGCUCAGGCACGAAAGCGUGGGUAGCAAACAGGAUUAGAUACCCUGUAGUCC